UUACGGGAGGCAGCAGUGGGGAAUUUUCCGCAAUGGGCGAAAGCCUGACGGAGCAAUACCGCGUGAGGGAGGAAGGCUCUUGGGUCGUAAACCUCUUUUCUCAGGGAAGAAGAAAGUGACGGUACCUGAGGAAUCAGCCUCGGCUAACUCCGUGCCAGCAGCCGCGGUAAUACGGAGGAGGCAAGCGUUAUCCGGAAUUAUUGGGCGUAAAGCGUCCGUAGGUGGCUCUUCAAGUCUGCUGUUAAAGAGUGGGGCUUAACCCUGCCAAGGCAGUGGAAACUGAAAGGCUAGAGAGCCGUAGGGGUAGAGGGAAUUCCCGGUGUAGCGGUGAAAUGCGUAGAGAUCGGGAAGAACAUCGGUGGCGAAAGCGCUCUACUGGACGGUAUCUGACACUGAGGGACGAAAGCUAGGGGAGCGAAUGGGAUUAGAUACCCCGGUAGC
rnacentral:rRNA from 1 species